UUGGACCUGAUAUCAGGUAAGAUUACCCGCUGAACUAAGCAUAUCAAAACGGGAAGAAAA
rnacentral:rRNA from 1 species